rnacentral:siRNA from 1 species
CAAGUUCUAAUUGGUUUCCCC